GAUGAACGCUGGCGGCGUGCCUAAUACAUGCAAGUCGAGCGAACAGACGAGGAGCUUGCUCCUCUGACGUUAGCGGCGGACGGGUGAGUAACACGUGGAUAACCUACCUAUAAGACUGGGAUAACUUCGGGAAACCGGAGCUAAUACCGGAUAAUAUAUUGAACCGCAUGGUUCAAUAGUGAAAGACGGUUUUGCUGUCACUUAUAGAUGGAUCCGCGCCGCAUUAGCUAGUUGGUAAGGUAACGGCUUACCAAGGCAACGAUGCGUAGCCGACCUGAGAGGGUGAUCGGCCACACUGGAACUGAGACACGGUCCAGACUCCUACGGGAGGCAGCAGUAGGGAAUCUUCCGCAAUGGGCGAAAGCCUGACGGAGCAACGCCGCGUGAAUGAUGAAGGUCUUCGGAUCGUAAAACUCUGUUAUUAGGGAAGAACAAAUGUGUAAGUAACUAUGCACGUCUUGACGGUACCGAAUCAGAAAGCCACGGCUAACUACGU
rnacentral:rRNA from 1 species